UAUUCAAAUGGGCUUGCCGGGCGCGGGCCCCCCGCCCCCAGCGUCCGCGAGUCCCCGGAUGAGCGCGGAUCCCGUUUCCCCCUGAUAGCCGCCGGCUUUGUCUGCGGCCGGCCCGCACCCGCUCCCGCUCCCGCUCGAUUCUCUCUUUCUUCCCCCGAGGCUUUGUCUCUGUCUCCUCCUCGCACCCCUCCCGCUUCGUGUCCCUGGGAAGACUCAGCCUCAGACACCAGCCACCCGACCCGGGCCGACUGCCCGGGACCUGGCAAACCCCGCUGACAGCGCAUUUGGGGAGGAUUGUCGAACCCAAAACAGAUCCACCCACUGAGGCGGCGGAGAAAAAGCGGUUCGGAGGGUGCAGCACUCAGGAAAUGAGGUGGCAAGCUAGACACACACCUACUUUGAGACAGGAAUUAUGUUGAAGAACUUCAUCACCCACCUGGUAUCCACCAAGACAUAGCCCUUCCUGGAAUGAACUAUGGUCUCCUAAAGGCGGUUUCGUUUCAUGGGUCCCGUGGAUCUGAGAGAAACAGGCGAUUGGCCCUCUCCCACGCAAGGAGAAGCAGCAAUGGACUGGGGCCUGCACCUGGGCAGGUGCACGUGGAGCUGGACGAUCCUGUGACAUCCUGGAAACGCAGCGAGGAGUAUGGCAGAUCGUCUGCUCUGGAGUCAGCUGACUGCUCUGAAUCUUCGCUCUGUCACUCAGUCCUUGCAGGAGCUGUAUUAUCCGGGUCAGUUACUCAACUUUCUGAGGCUCGGUUUCCACCUGUGUGAAAUGGGGAUAAGAUGUCCACCUCAGAGGGUCAUUAAGAGGUUUAGACUGGUUAAUGCAUGGACAGCUUCUGGAGAAGGCAUUUUCCCAGGACCAGAGAAGAACUGGUGAGUGGGGUGCUUUGAAGGCACGUGAGGGAGGAUAACUACAGGCUGGGGCUCUGGGCGACCCUUCCCGAGGGAGAAGAAAAUGAAGUAGCUGUUAGUAGCAGGACAGAAAACAGGGUGCCUGGAUGCCAAGCAUCAUCAGGAACGUUGCCUGGGGUGGGAAAAAUGAAAUCUCGGAACACUCCUGCCUUCUUGCCUACUGCUUUUCAUUUCUUAAUUCUUUUUUUUUUAAAUGAAGAUGGGAAGGUUUACAAUUUUGACAGUUCCAUUUAUUUCUACCAUUUUCAUCUAAAACAAUACAGUGAACAGAAAUUAUUCCACCCAGGGUUUCAACUGCAGCUGGAUAAAUGUCAGUAUUAAUUAAACAUGUUCUGUGUA